UUGGUCGUAGACCCGAAACCAGGUGAUCUACCCUUGGUCAGGUUGAAGUUCAGGUAACACUGAAUGGAGGACCGAACCGACUUACGUUGAAAAGUGAGCGGAUGAACUGAGGGUAGCGGAGAAAUUCCAAUCGAACCUGGAGAUAGCUGGUUCUCUCCGAAAUAGCUUUAGGGCUAGCCUCAAGUGAUGAUUAUUGGAGGUAGAGCACUGUUUGGACGAGGGGCCCCUCUCGGGUUACCGAAUUCAGACAAACUCCGAAUGCCAAUUAAUUUAACUUGGGAGUCAGAACAUGGGUGAUAAGGUCCGUGUUCGAAAGGGAAACAGCCCAGACCACCAGCUAAGGUCCCAAAAUAUAUGUUAAGUGGAAAAGGAUGUGGCGUUGCCCAGACAACUAGGAUGUUGGCUUAGAAGCAGCCAUCAUUUAAAGAGUGCGUAAUAGCUCACUAGUCGAGUGACACUGCGCCGAAAAUGUACCGGGGCUAAACAUAUUACCGAAGCUGUGGAUUGUCCUUUGGACAAUGGUAGGAGAGCGUUCUAAGGGCGUUGAAGCAUGAUCGUAAGGACAUGUGGAGCGCUUAGAAGUGAGAAUGCCGGUGUGAGUAGCGAAAGACGGGUGAGAAUCCCGUCCACCGAUUGACUAAGGUUUCCAGAGGAAGGCUCGUCCGCUCUGGGUUAGUCGGGUCCUAAGCUGAGGCCGACAGGCGUAGGCGAUGGAUAACAGGUUGAUAUUCCUGUACCACCUAUAAUCGUUUUAAUCGAUGGGGGGACGCAGUAGGAUAGGCGAAGCGUGCGAUUGGAUUGCACGUCUAAGCAGUAAGGCUGAGUAUUAGGCAAAUCCGGUACUCAUUAAGGCUGAGCUGUGAUGGGGAGAAGACAUUGUGUCUUCGAGUCGUUGAUUUCACACUGCCGAGAAAAGCCUCUAGAUAGAAAAUAGGUGCCCGUACCGCAAACCGACACAGGUAGUCAAGAUGAGAAUUCUAAGGUGAGCGAGCGAACUCUCGUUAAGGAACUCGGCAAAAUGACCCCGUAACUUCGGGAGAAGGGGUGCUCUUUAGGGUUAACGCCCAGAAGAGCCGCAGUGAAUAGGCCCAAGCGACUGUUUAUCAAAAACACAGGUCUCUGCUAAACCGUAAGGUGAUGUAUAGGGGCUGACGCCUGCCCGGUGCUGGAAGGUUAAGAGGAGUGGUUAGCUUCUGCGAAGCUACGAAUCGAAGCCCCAGUAAACGGCGGCCGUAACUAUAACGGUCCUAAGGUAGCGAAAUUCCUUGUCGGGUAAGUUCCGACCCGCACGAAAGGCGUAACGAUUUGGGCACUGUCUCAACGAGAGACUCGGUGAAAUCAUAGUACCUGUGAAGAUGCAGGUUACCCGCGACAGGACGGAAAGACCCCGUGGAGCUUUACUGUAGCCUGAUAUUGAAAUUCGGCACAGCUUGUACAGGAUAGGUAGGAGCCUUUGAAACGUGAGCGCUAGCUUACGUGGAGGCGCUGGUGGGAUACUACCCUAGCUGUGUUGGCUUUCUAACCCGCACCACUUAUCGUGGUGGGAGACAGUGUCAGGCGGGCAGUUUGACUGGGGCGGUCGCCUCCUAAAAGGUAACGGAGGCGCUCAAAGGUUCCCUCAGAAUGGUUGGAAAUCAUUCAUAGAGUGUAAAGGCAUAAGGGAGCUUGACUGCGAGACCUACAAGUCGAGCAGGGUCGAAAGACGGACUUAGUGAUCCGGUGGUUCCGCAUGGAAGGGCCAUCGCUCAACGGAUAAAAGCUACCCCGGGGAUAACAGGCUUAUCUCCCCCAAGAGUUCACAUCGACGGGGAGGUUUGGCACCUCGAUGUCGGCUCAUCGCAUCCUGGGGCUGUAGUCGGUCCCAAGGGUUGGGCUGUUCGCCCAUUAAAGCGGUACGCGAGCUGGGUUCAGAACGUCGUGAGACAGUUCGGUCCCUAUCCGUCGUGGGCGUAGGAAAUUUGAGAGGAGCUGUCCUUAGUACGAGAGGACCGGGAUGGACAUACCUCUGGUGUACCAGUUGUCGUGCCAACGGCAUAGCUGGGUAGCUAUGUGUGGACGGGAUAAGUGCUGAAAGCAUCUAAGCAUGAAGCCCCCCUCAAGAUGAGAUUUCCCAACUUCGGUUAUAAGAUCCCUCAAAGAUGAUGAGGUUAAUAGGUUCGAGGUGGAAGCAUGGUGACAUGUGGAGCUGACGAAUACUAA
rnacentral:rRNA from 1 species